GCCGGAAUAGCUCAGCUGGGAGAGCAACAGACUGAAGUCAGCGCUUCACAAGAUCUUCUGGAGGUCCCGUGUUCAAUCCACGGUUCUGGCA
rnacentral:tRNA from 1 species